CCAAGUAAGUCCCGUUUUCCUACCUACCC
rnacentral:piRNA from 1 species